GGCUGCGGUCGAUUAGGUAGACGGUGGGGUAACGGCCCACCGUGCCCAUAAUCGGUACGGGUUGUGAGAGCAAGAGCCCGGAGACGGAAUCUGAGACAAGAUUCCGGGCCCUACGGGGCGCAGCAGGCGCGAAACCUUUACACUGUACGAAAGUGCGAUAAGGGGACUCCGAGUGUGAAGGCAUAGAGCCUUCACUUUUGUACACCGUAAGGUGGUGCACGAAUAAGGACUGGGCAAGACCGGUGCCAGCCGCCGCGGUAAUACCGGCAGUCCGAGUGAUGGCCGAUCUUAUUGGGCCUAAAGCUGUAAUCCUGGACGGACCGCCGGUGGCGAAAGCGCCUCAGGAGAACGGAUCC
rnacentral:rRNA from 2 species